ensembl:lncRNA
AUGGAUUUGUGGGUCUUUUAUAAAGGUGGCAACCAUGGGAACCACUGGGAAUCCUGUCUCACCACAGCUCGGAUUCUACAUGGUACUACUUCUCCUGCAGCAUUGUGUUUCCAACAAGCAUCUUUAGAGCUCUUACUAAGGGGACAGCAGAGUUCAAGCCAGGGAAUUGAUAGCACUCCAACCAAAAAACAACAUCUCAGCAAAUUAACAAAAGAAUGUAUCUAACAUCCACCCCUCCUACAGAAAACUGUGUUGAAGGGAUUCAAAUAUAAAGUGGCCUGCCUGACACUGUCAGUUACAGAUUCUUUCGAUGGGUAAAUGUACAGGGCUUGAUUUCUUGCCUAAAGCUUUCUAUCAAGUAUGAUUAGCUAAAUUCAACAGACGGUCACUCAUUAAAGUUCAGGGAAUUAUCUUCAUUUUGGUUUUGCUUGUUUGUGUGUUAUAAGGAGAGAAGCAGAACAAAGAGUUCACCCCAUUUGAUAGUGACUAACUGAUAGUUAUUCAUGAAUACAAUAGGGGCUCGGGGAACAGAUUUUAAUGGGAGAAGCAGAAAAAUACAGUAUUAAAAACCCCAUUUAGAGUCAUGAUUUAUUUCCCUGAUUAGGAUUUUCUGCCCUUUCCUGGAGAAAAAAAAAUUAUAAAUAUAGUUGAAAGCGUUCAUCACCUGAGAUGCACCAUUUGGAAAAGAAAACAGGAGAAUGUAUUUUUAAACCAUAAAUUUCCACCAUGUUCACCCCUUGCAUAAAUAACCAGCCCUAGACUUUGCAAGAAAUAUUAAAGUUCAUUUAAAUUGCAAAUCUGACCUUAUUAAAAUGGCUUUCUCAAAGAGCCGUAAACAAAUAGAGUGCGUUGGUAAUACUGCCAAACAAAAGAAUACAUUCUCAACCAGUUCUGUAAUUAAAGUGGUAAAACAGAAUUUUCACAGUUCUGAAUGAUUCAGAGAGAUGGACGAAGAAAACAUGUUAUGACAAUAACUUAAAGUGGGGAGAAUGUAUCCAUCUGGAUGGUCCCUUCAAUAAAUGUCUUAGUACAAUUACUCUUUGAAAGUCAAUAAAAAUUCUUAUGAACAGCUUGGAAAUGUUAUUAUAUUGUUGCUAAUUUAAUGUGUUUUGAAUACGUUUCCUUCAGCUACCACCUUCCCUCUUAUUGUUGGAAGCACAGCCAUUAAGAUUUACUAUGUUUGGGGUAAGCAUAAAAAUGAAACAAUUAAGAAUAAGCUUAUAUCUGUGAAUGGCUCGAAAGAGCUAAUAAAUUUCAAAAUUAAAAGCCAAACAAAUAGGCUCGGCUCGUUACUGAGUUUAUGGGAAAUCCAUACCUGAAGGUAUAUUUAAAUCAGUGGAUUGUCACCAAGCCAAUGGUUUCCUUUUACUUAGAAAAAUAAUCCAAAGUGCAGGAGGCCACACAAAUCAGAUGGGGUUUAGAUGGAUCUUAACUUGGAUUUGGCUGAGCUUAGCAACUGUGGAUUUAUGGCUAAAUAAGUGCUUCCACAAAGAUCCAGGGAAGAGUGAUGAGUUUCAAAAAAAGACAAAGUGAAGAGGGAGAUGGACCACAAACACUUCAAGCUCUCCACUGACUUGAUAUGAGGUCACCAAAAACACAAUGACUGCUUUACACUUCAUUAUGUUCUAUUUAGAUGUGAUUUUCAGUUUAUUCAUAGAUUUAUUCAACAAAUGUUUAUAGAACACAUACUGUGUAAUAGACACAAAGCUAGGUACUGAAGAUAUAAUAGGAAUAAAACAGACACUAUUCCUGCCCUCACAAAAUUGAAGACUAGUUUAAUACAUUCUGUUUCAGAAAGCAGGAUAAGUUCCAACUCAUUUUUGAAACAUUGCUAUUACUAUUCAACAUAGUAUUGGAAGUUCUGGCCAGGACAAUCAGGCAAAAGAAAGAAAUAAAGGGUAUUCAAUUAGGAAAACAGGUUUUCUUCUAGGGUUUUUAUGGUUUUAGGUCAUACAUUUAAGUCUUUAAUCCAUCUUGAGUUAAAUUGUUUGUAGAUGACAUGAAUGUAUAUUUAUAAAACCCCAUUGUCUCAGCCCAAGAUCUCCUUAAGCUGAUAAGCAACUUCAGCAAAGUCUCAGGAUACAAAAUCAAUGUGCAAAAAUCACAAGCAUUCCUAUACAUCAAUAACA